GGGGAUUUAGCUCAGUGGUAGAGCGCUUGCCUAGCAAGCACAAGGCCCUGGGUUCAGUCCUCAGGUCCUUA
rfam:Mus musculus chromosome 4, GRC primary reference assembly.